AACGAACGCUGGCGGCAUGCCUAACACAUGCAAGUCGAACGAGACCUUCGGGUCUAGUGGCGCACGGGUGCGUAACGCGUGGGAACCUGCCCUUAGGUUCGGAAUAACUCCCCGAAAGGGGUGCUAAUACCGGAUAAUGUCUGCGGACCAAAGAUUUAUCGCCUUUGGAUGGGCCCGCGUUGGAUUAGCUAGUUGGUAGGGUAAAAGCCUACCAAGGCGACGAUCCAUAGCUGGUCUGAGAGGAUGAUCAGCCACACUGGGACUGAGACACGGCCCAGACUCCUACGGGAGGCAGCAGUGGGGAAUAUUGGAAAAUGGGCGAAAGCCUGAUCCAGCAAUGCCGCGUGAGUGAUGAAGGCCUUAGGGUUGUAAAGCUCUUUUACCCGGGAUGAUAAUGACAGUACCGGGAGAAUAAGCUCCGGCUAACUCCGUG
rnacentral:rRNA from 1 species